UUUCGAGUGGAACAUUUAGUUCGAACGCGCCGCUCCGCGCCUAACCUCAUUUGCAUAUAUGGGAAAAUUAACCUGCUCAUUUGCAUAUAUGGGAAAAUACCGUGCUCCCGCUAGCGCACUGUGACUUUUGGCCUUUGACACCACAAAUCAUGACGUAUAGUCACAUGCAACCAUUUGCAAUGGGAACAACGUUGCUACAGGGUAGCGAACAGAGUCUUGCGAGAAUUGGUUGAGUCUUUAGCACCUCUAAGCCGCGAGAAUGCAGAAAUUACGAAGAAAACUGGCUGGUCUCUCUUCGGAUGUGUAUUAAAGAGCCUGACUAGUUAAAGGGAACCCUGUACUGCUGUUGCCAAUAUUAACGAGGGAGACUUCAGUUUGCAAAACGCACACCAUCCUGUCUCCCUGGAUGCACCUGUAGCAGAUGGGUUUCCAGUGUGGACUUGAGCCGUCUCACCGCAUCCGGGAUGGAGCUGGUUGAUCGGUUGAUCCGAUUGAAAACGGCAUGGACCUGUUCCACCCCUUGCUCCCCAUGAAAACCCAACCCAACCCCCCAACACCUUAUCCAUGGUAUGACAUGUUCUUCCAAGAGGUGCAUCUUGACGGAUACAGACGAGGUAGGGAACAGCUCUCUGUACUUGGCCAGGAAGUGCUUGAUACUGCAGUCUGUAACAUAAAAAGAAUGGUAUUGAUUGAUUAUGUAUUGAUUUACUAUGAAAAACAUUAUGAUGUCAAUUGCAUAUCCAAAAUAACUUUUAAUGUUGAUAGUAGAUCAAAAUGGGUUGAUGAC